rnacentral:lncRNA from 1 species
GCCCCAUUCCCUCUCGGCCACGCCCACCACGGCCCACUGGCCAGGGAGCCGCUACGCAGAUGUUUUCGCCUCUGCGGGUGUAGGCUCCGGGUCGGGCUUCCGGGUCCCUUUCCUGGCUCUGGCGCCUUCCAGCUGUGUGACCGGGCGAGGCCCUGAGCCUCUUGAGGGUUCAGUGCCCUCCUCCGUACAAUGGGCCAACAACAGCCCCUUCCCUGGGGAUCUCGGUGAGGGUUGGUUGCUCUGCAGGGUGCCCUGGGCCUGUGCCAGCGCGCUCAGGCAUCCUGGUGACCAACCACAGCUGGCACUGGUGAACGCAGCCUCUUAGCCCAGGCAGGCUCUGGUCAGCCUCACCUGCUGGGACCGCUGAGUGGUCCAAGAGCUGGCUUGGCUGACUGGGACCUGGGCCUCAGCUUCCCCAUCUGUGCAGGGGGCCGCUGGUGAUACCGGUCCCUGCCAUGCCCUGGUGGAGAUAUGGCCCAGUGAGACUUCGUGAGGGGUCUAGGCCACUGCUGUCACGUGGUACGUCUUCUACCCUGGCCCCUAGGUGGCCCUGGCCUCAGCCUUGCUCUAAAGAGGAAUGAAGCCCAGCCCACAGCCCCUUAGCACAGAUACGCUCGGGAGACGGGACCCUCACCGUUACUCAUCUCCUUACUGUUCCCUGGACACCUUGGGGUCCCUGCGCCUCUCCACCCGUCCCUGCCAGGUCCUCCUGCUCCACCACAGGCCAUCUCCCUGGGCCUCAUCCAGACAGCUGGACACUGAGCACAGCUCUGUUGUCCUCUUCCCUGGGCUGAGUGGACUCAGAGGUGCUGGGGACUGCAUGGCCGCCGGACGAGGCGGGGGCUUUCCAACCCAACACCACCGAGCCUGCCUCUUCCUGCCCUGGAUGCUAUGUCUUCCAUAGAGCCGCUUUUCCAACACAGCAGGUAUGAAGUAUCCACCGGCCAUCUGAAAAUAAUGCAGUAACUAAGAAAAACAGUGGCGAGAGGAAGGAGUGUCGAUGCCCCAAAUGGAUCAUCUUCCAGAGCACGUCUACACCGAGAUCAAGAAUGAAAAGGAAUUGGGAUCCUGACACAUCCACCAAAGAGCCUUUGAGUACUUCGAAAUCACUUGGAACAGGUUCCUGCAAAGCAAACCCUUCUGGGCUUGAGGAGGAAAUGGACCCGGAACAUUCAGCCCAUCUGAGCACAAACUUUCUGUUGACCUGAGAGGCUGAGGCCUUCCUGUUCCCCACUCAGACCCAGGAGGCAGCCUGCCCAGGGGGAGCCGGGGCAUGGCCUACGAGCUCCUGGAGUCAGGCAGCUCCUGAGGGGCCGGAUGGUCUUGGGCUGGCCAAGCCAGCCUCUGUCGUCCUGUGGAUGGUGGGGCCUUGUGUACGCAUAGCCUCUGCACAGGGGCACACUGUGGGUGUUUGGACGGACAGUGUCUCAAAAACCCAAUUCAGGGCUUGACAGCAGAUUUGUCCUCCACUCCAUGUGCAUAUGAGCAAGGAGAGUUAAUGCAAAGCUUUCUUCAUAGCAGAAGGUUGAAAACAAUGUACCUUUCUAUCAGCAGAGCAGGCAAGGGGGAUACUGUGUGUUUCCCACUGCUGCUGGGACAAAUUAUAACAAAUGUAGCAGCGUAAACCAACGUCCAUUUUUCAUCUCAUGCUCUGGAGGUCAGAGGUUCUCGCGGGUUCUUCUGGUUUUUCUGUUCAAGGUC